AGUGAACGCUGGCGGUAGGCCUAACACAUGCAAGUCGAACGGCAGCACAGUAAGAGCUUGCUCUUACGGGUGGCGAGUGGCGGACGGGUGAGGAAUACAUCGGAAUCUACUUUUUCGUGGGGGAUAACGUAGGGAAACUUACGCUAAUACCGCAUACGACCUACGGGUGAAAGCAGGGGAUCUUCGGACCUUGCGCGAUUGAAUGAGCCGAUGUCGGAUUAGCUAGUUGGCGGGUUAAAGGCCCACCUAGGCGAGGAUCCGUUGCUGGUCUGAGUGGAUGAUCAGCCACACUGGAACUUGGACACGGUCCAGACUCCUACGGGAGGCAGCAGUGGGGAAUAUUGGGCAAUGGGCGCAAGCCUGAUCCAGCCAUACCGCGUGGGUGAAGAAAGCCUUCGGGUUGUAAAGCCCUUUUGUUGGGAAAGAAAAGCAGCAGGUUGAUACCCCGCUGUUCUGACGGUACCCAAAGAAUAAGCACCGGCUAACUUCGUG
rnacentral:rRNA from 1 species